GUCUGCACCUGAUUCCAUUUCAAAGUGGGAGCCUUCUCAGCAAUCUGUGAUGCUUACUCUUGCUGGCCUUCCAAGGAGAGAGGACACAUCACGGGGCGGACGCGAAGGCCUUCAUAGGUAGAGCAGAGCGAGGUCGAUACGGUGGCCAGGCGUGGUCUAGAGAACUGGUGGCUGGUGGUGCGUGAGUUGGAGGCGAGGUGACGUCAUUGACCAAGACGCCUCGUAUAUCCUCAUCUCGUGCCUCCGGGAGAGGAGCUCGUCGAGGAUCCCCUCUUCUCCAUGGAUCCACGAUAGAGGGUCAUAUAUGGAGGAGUGGAUUUGAAAGGAAAGAAUUCCAAUUAGUUGCUUUUGAGGAUGUUCCCGAGGCACUAAAGAACUGGUAGUCUCAUCGUAUGACGGUAUGUAUCUAUUUGGUCAUCAUGUAUAUUGUGUAAACAUAAAAUGAUGCACUGAAUGCACUGCGCUCUUUCCAAUUUUUAUUGUGUC